rnacentral:lncRNA from 1 species
GUGUGUGUGUGCGCAGGAACGAUCAGAAGAACAGGGGGUUCUUUCAAAACCCUAAAGCACAUGAAAUCCAGCAAAAUCAAGGAGAAAUCGAGCAAAGAAAUUAGGGCUUUAACUAAAAUCGUGAUCACCAAGCUAAGGGGAUCGGAAGUUUGACUUUUGACAAGCUAGAUGGAGGCUUGGAAGGAAGCGGGUCAAACAAGUCAAGCAUGGAAGAAAAGCAUAGCUCGGAUGCAAGGUAAGUGAAACUUACAUAAUUGUGUAGAUUACUUGUUCAUUCUAUACGUUAUAGAUGCAAUAAUGCUAAUAUUGAAAAUAUGGAUUUCCGACGUGAUUGAUACGAGUCGGAACUUACAAAGAUGAUAAAAACCAUGGUUAUUGGCAAAAAGGGGACUCGGUAAUGAAAUCCGGGACGGGAUGGAUGUAUGAAUUAGAAGUCAAAAACCAUGAUUUUGAUUUAAUAGGCAACGUUGGGCAUAUAGGCCAAAUGGGUCAAAUGGCGUGAUAACACCAUUUGACAAUAUCGACUAAUGUGGUUGUCAAGUCUUGUGUUAACAGGAGCGAUUAGCAAUUCGGAUGAUUGCUUCGCCAAAGAAUAUGUGAUAAUAAAGGCGAGGUAUAAACCGGGUCUAAUUGUUAACCCGGGCCAGGUACGCAUCAAUGAGAUUAUACUUUAAAUGUGUGAUUUUGAUCAUAAUUGUAGUGAAAGUCCUUCGUCGUAAAUGAGGGACUAAUGUAGAUAAAUAUGCCUUGAUGGGUAAUCGGGUAAAAGGCCCUUAUGGGUGGUUUGGGAAUCACGUAUUAUAAUCAUGUAAUCCUUAGAUAAGCAUCAUGGUGAUAGGCAUAAACCUUUGUGGGUCAAAUGCCUAGGAAUGGGUCUUUUUCGUAAAAUGACAAACCGUGAUGUAAAACGCGACAUAAGUAGUUUACUAUAUCAAAUCCACCACAAAUAUAAUUGUGGUGGAAGACCAUUUGAAAAACUAAUGUGAAAAUUUUGGUGCUAAAAGUAAAUGAGCGAGAUUUAUGCCAGAAAGGACAUAAAUACCCUUAACGGGUCAAAAUAAGAUUUUAAGUAAAAAGCGAGUCAAUAAUGCGUAGAAAUCCGUAAUUGGAACCUAAUAUGAUAGGUAAUUUUGGAAUUAAAGGGUUCAUGAGAAAUGGGGGUCAAACAAAUAUGUUUGUUUGAUAAAAUGCAUAAACGGGUUAAAAGUCGGAAUAAAGGGUAAUAAGCCGAGGAUUUAAAAGUCUGAAAUUUUAUUAAGUUGGAUAUUGGGUUUAAACUCCAUAUAAUGGAGAAUCAAAUUAUAAUCAUGUAGGAAGAAACGGUAGGUCAAACGGAUAAGCGGAUUGAAAGAUACGAAAGUUUUCGUGUCAAUAUACGGCAAAAUGGAAGAAGCUGAUGCAGGGGUCACCGUAACUUACGGUGGGUACCGUAAGUUACGGUGGAGGCUGAAUUCCUUACGGUAGUUCUCCACUGCCUUACGGUGGAGGAAUAAACAUUCAGGGGCUACCGUAAAUUACGGUAGCCACCGUAAUUUACGGUGGACCUUGUACAAAAUGUAUUUUUGAUCAUUUUUGUUUCCCGGACUUGUUUAGAUACGUUUUAAAUCCCGUAUGACUAAAGCAUUUCAUGUUUUUAUGAAAUGUAGGUACUUUGUGGAAGCCGGAAGACGAUCAAGCUCAACGAAGAACCGAACACGAUAAUGAUACACGCUUCCGCACUUUGCUACGUUGAAAUUUUUAAACAACGAAUUUGAUCACGAUAUGUAGAAUAACUUAUGAUUUAUAAAAGUUUUAAUAAACCCGUAUUCCCAAAUGUUUAUGUAAUCUUAAAUUACAUGAUUGUUUAACGUAAAAUUUACGUUAAACCUU